rnacentral:rRNA from 1 species
AACGAACGCUGGCGGCAUGCCUAACACAUGCAAGUCGAACGAGACCUUCGGGUCUAGUGGCGCACGGGUGCGUAACGCGUGGGAAUCUGCCCUGGGGGUGCGGAAUAACUCGGAGAAAUCCGUGCUAAUACCGCAUAAUGUCUUCGGACCAAAGAUUUAUCGCCCUGGGAUGAGCCCGCGUAGGAUUAGCUAGUUGGUGGGUAAAGCCUACCAAGGCGACGAUCCCUUAGCUGGUCUGAGAGGAUGAUCAGCCACACUGGGACUGAGACACGGCCCAGACUCCUACGGGAGGCAGCAGUGGGGAAUAUUGGACAAUGGGCGAAAGCCUGAUCCAGCAAUGCCGCGUGAGUGAUGAAGGCCCUAGGGUUGUAAAGCUCUUUACCCGGGAUGAUAAUGACAGUACCGGGAGAAUAAGCUCCGGCUAACUCCGUGCCAGCAGCCGCGGUAAU